UACGUAGGGGGCGAGCGUUGUUCGGAUUUACUGGGCGUAAAGGGCGCGUAGGCGGAUGUUCGCGUCAGAGGUGAAAGCCCCGGGCUCAACCUGGGAACUGCCUUUGAAACGGGACAUCUUGAGUUCGGGAGAGGGUAGCGGAAUUCCCAGUGUAGAGGUGAAAUUCGUAGAUAUUGGGAAGAACACCGGUGGCGAAGGCGGCUACCUGGCCCGAUACUGACGCUGAGGCGCGAAAGCGUGGGGAGCAAACAGGAUUAGAUAUCCCGGUAGUCCCUGAGCGGGCUGG
rnacentral:rRNA from 1 species